rnacentral:rRNA from 1 species
UUCCGGUUGAUCCUGCCGGACCCGACUGCUAUCAGAGUAGGACUAAGCCAUGCGAGUCAACGCCGUAAGGCGUGGCAUACGGCUCAGUAACACGUAGUCAACAUGCCCAAAGGACGUGGAUAACCUCGGGAAACUGAGGAUAAACCGCGAUAGGCCAAGGUUUCUGGAAUGAGCCAUGGCUGAAAUCUAUAUGGCCUUUGGAUUGGACUGCGGCCGAUCAGGCUGUUGGUGAGGUAAUGGCCCACCAAACCUGUAACCGGUACGGGCUUUGAGAGAAGGAGCCCGGAGAUGGGCACUGAGAACAGGGCCCAGGCCCUAUGGGGCGCAGCAGGCGCGAAACCUCUGCAA